rnacentral:rRNA from 1 species
GUAAUUCCGGUGAAGAUGCCGGAUACCUGCGACAGGACGGAAAGACCCCAUGGAGCUUUACUGUAGCUUGACAUUGGGUCUUGGUACUACAUGUACAGGAUAGGUGGGAGGCUUUGAAACCAGGACGACAGUUUUGGCGGAGCCAUCCUUGGGAUACCACCCUUGUAGUACUGGGACUCUAACCAUAGGCCAUGAAUCUGGUCUUGGGACACUGUCAGGUGGGCAGUUUGACUGGGGCGGUCGCCUCCCAAAAGG